rnacentral:rRNA from 1 species
UACAGAGGCCUCGAGCGUUAGGCGGAAUCACUGGGCUUAAGGCGUGUGUAGGUGGAUGCCUAAGUACCUUGUGAAAUCCCACGGCUUAACCGUGGAAUGGCUGGGUAUACUGGGCGUCUUGAGCCACUCAGGGGCUACCGGAACAAAUGGUGGAGCGGUGAAAUGCGUAGAUAUCAUUUGGAACGCCAAUGGUGAAAACAGGUAGCUGGGGGUGUGCUGACACUGAGACACGAAAGCCAGGGGAGCAAACGGG